CCUGCUUGGAACAGCGAUAUGACGCUUUUACCGAUCUUGACCACGCGUCGGUCAUCGUCCAACCAGUUUACAUCUUCUCGACUUUUCCUUCAGUUUCCUUCUCUCUCACAAAUUUGUUCUUCUGUCUACAUUCAACUCGCUCUCUCUCGCUCUCCAUCUUCAUUGAAACCCUGAUUCCUCAACGCUUUCUCAGAACGUGCCAAAUUCGGUUUCAACCGUUCUAUCCCGAUCUCACAAUGUUCGGCGCAAAACCUUGAGAAUAUUGGCCUCUGCUCCGUCUCCGUCCCCAGAGUUGGGAUCGGUCUCGAAGAGCUUUCUGCAUCCAUCCUUCCGAAGUGUUAUUUCUUCCCGAGUUGGAAAGUAGAAGCUUCAACUUUUAGCUCAGACCUUAAAGCCUCAAAAUUUUCACUUUAUCAAUCCAGUUAUUCCGGGCAAGCAUAACCUUUAUCAACAUCCUGUUUAUAGAAGAAUAAAAGUCAUCUCCUGGCCCUUCUCUGGAAUACAGUGUUAAUUCUCCGGACUAUCGACCUCUGCCGUCUGAUUCUCCUCAAUGGUGCUUGCACCAUUUGAACCAGAGGGAAUCUUAAGAUUGCAUUAUAGGCACAUACUUUUGCAUUUUAAGGCUAAAUCAUUGGAUUGCAAUUGUUCCCAGUGAAAAGCACUUGCAGUCUUGCAACAGAUGCACUAUGCAUGCAAGUACAAAAAUUGACAUAUGCUGAUGGAUGUUAUUUGCUGA